rnacentral:rRNA from 1 species
AUGUCGGGGUUGCUUGGCACGGUUGUUGAUGCAGCAAUUGGAUGGCUGGUGCAAAGCAUCCUUGACAGCUUCUUUACUGGACGUAUGGAAGCCUGGACUCGUAAAAUCGGGCUUGCUGAAGAUGUGGAGAAGCUCAAAUUUCAGAUGAGGGACGUGCAGAUGGUUCUUGCUGCUGCCGAGGGAAGGAGGAUUGACAAUAUGCCUCUGGCCCUGUCACUGGAUGAUCUCAGAGGGCUGCUUUAUGACUCAGAGGAUGUGAUGGAUGAGCUCGACUACUACCGACUCCAGCAACAGAUCACUGAAGGGAAAGUUUGUAGUGCUCCCAGUGGUGCUAAUCCUGAGGGAAGCUAUGUGUUCUUAUCCACUCUAUCUUCUGUUGUUAAAUUAGUAUGCAGCGCCCCAAGCCAUAUAACUGGUUGGAUCUUACGCGGCAGAAAAAGGAAACGUGAAGAGGAGGGGCCAGCUCACUGUAACAUGCUGCCUUUUGAGAUUAAAGAUAGCAUUUCUAAGAGGAUCAAUGUAAUAGUGAUUCUUCUAUGCAGUAACCGCAAUUCUGUGCAGGGGGCUCUUCAGCUUGAGAACUUGCGCCCCAUGGCAACAUCAAGUAAGAGUCUCAAUAUUUCCAGGGGUCAUCGCAUGACAACUUCUGUUCCGAUUGAAUCUGAGGUGUACGGAAGAGAUGCAGAGAGAGACAAAAUAAUAGAGCUGCUGAGGAAUGGAAAAUCUAGUGAUCUGAAUGUUUUGCCAUUAGUUGGCGCCAUUGGUGGUGUUGGGAAGACAACACUUGCCAGAUUUGUAUACCGUGAUCAAAGAAUUAUAGAUCAUUUUGAUCUGCGAAUGUGGGUUUGUGUGUCCACUGACUUCAAUGAAGAGAGGCUAACACGUGAGAUCCUAGAGCAUGUAUGUGAAGAUAGACAAGAGUAUGAAAAUAAAAGCAAUCCUGAUGUACUGCAGAACAUCCUUUUGAAGAAGGUCAGAAACAAAAGAUUUCUGCUUGUACUGGACGAUAUAUGGGAAGACAGAGACAGGAGUGGGUGGAUUAAUUUCCUGGCUCCGUUGAAAAGGAAUCAAGCAACCGGUUGCAUGAUUUUAGCAACAACAAGAAGGAAAUCAGUUGCAAAAAUGAUAGGAACAAUGGUUGAGGUCGAAGUGAAUGGUCUCGAUGAUAAUGUGUUCUGGCUUCUCUUCAGAGCAUGUGCAUUUGGUGAUGAGAACUACGAGGGCCGUCCUAGUUUGCAAUCUAUUGGGAAAGAGAUUGCUAAAGCACUAAAAGGCUGUCCACUGGCUGCACGAAGUGUUGGUGCACUUCUAAACGCAGAUGUUAGCUAUCAGCAUUGGAUGACAGUUCGGGACAAAUGGAAAUCUCUUGAAGAUGCUGAUGAUAUUUUACCCAUCUUGAAGCUCAGUUAUGAUUAUCUUCCAGUCCACCUUCAGCGCUGUUUCUCUUACUGCUCUUUGUUCCCAGAGGACUACCCAUUUGAUGGGGAAGAUUUGGUCCAUGCUUGGAUAUCACAAAAUUUUGUGCAGUACGAAGGCCGUACCAUAAGAUUGGAGAAAACAGGGCAGAGCUAUUUGGAAAGAUUAGUGGACUUGGGCUUCUUCCACAAGGAUGGCUCACACUAUGUUAUGCAUGACCUAAUGCAUGUAUUGGCCAGGAAAGUUUCAUCAAGUGAGUGUGCUACUAUAGAUGGAUUGAAACCUCAGGCCAUUCAACCAAGCGUUCGCCAUUUGUCAGUCAUAAUUACUGAUUUUGGUAAAGAUGAACAAGGCAGUUUUCCUAGUGAGAAGUUUGACCAAAUACUACAGGAAGUUAGGUCGUCUUUGCAAAAAUUGAGAACCUUGAUGGUGUUUGGGCGAAGGACCAUACAUUUGUUAGGUUCAUUACAUACUUUAUGCAAGGAGGCAAAAUGUUUACGGUUACUAAGAAUUCGUGUGCCAGGUGGCGACAUCAAUUAUAUAAACAGUUUAUUGAAUCCAUGCCAUCUUCGCUAUAUAAUGGCAUAUGGAGUCUACCAAAAACCUGCGUUUUGUCAAGUUCUGACAAGGUGCUAUCACCUUCAAGUAUUGAAUGUGGGCAUUUUUACAGGCGAUCGUGAUGUACCUACUGAUAUGAAUAAUCUUGUUAAUCUGCGCCAUCUUAUUGCUCAUGAGAAAGUGCACCACGCAAUAGUUCGUGUCAGCAAAAUGACCUCUCUUCAGGAAUUAAAAUUCAAGGUUCAAAAUGUUGGUAGUUUUGGGAUAGGACAACUUCAGUCCAUGAAUGAGCUUGUAUUACUUGGAAUUUCUCAACUUGAAAAUGUGAAGACUAAAAAAGAGGUGAGGGGGGCCAAGCUGAUAGACAAAGAGUAUCUAGAAACAUUGUCCUUGUCAUGGGAGGAUAGCAGCAUGAGCUUCCAACCUGAGGCUGCCAAGGAUGUGCUUGAAGGUCUUCAACCACAUCAGAACCUCAAAACUCUAGAAAUAACUGGAUAUGGUGGUGCUACAUCCCCAACCUGGUUCUCCAUUGUUUCCUCAGUUACCUCCUUGCAGGUACUUCAUCUAGAGGGGUGCAGGGAAUGGCAAAUUCUAUCAAUUCGUGAAAUGCAUUCCCUUAGGAAGCUGACAUUGAUCAGGAUGUUGAAUUUAAUGGAAAUCUCAGUUCCUUCCUUGGAAGAGUUGAUCUUGAUCGGCAUGCCAAAAUUGAAAAAAUGUACCGGUUCUUAUGGAAUAGAAUUGACUUACCAUUUAAGGGUUUUGAUGAUCAAGAACUGCCGUGAGCUGAAUGAGCUCACUCUUUUCCAGAGUUACUCUUCUUUCGACGCUGAGCAGAAAUCAUGGUUUCCAUCUCUCAGGAAACUCUCCAUUGGGCAGUGUCCCCAUAUAUUAAACAACUGGCCAAUCCUCCCACUAAGUGAAAUGAGGGCGCUCAGUGAGUUGGAGUUGAUGGACCUACAUGUUGUCGGAGUUUCAGUUCCUUCUCUGGAGAAGUUGGUGUUGACUAAAAUGCCAAACCUGGAAUUUUGCAGCAGUCUAACGACCCAAGGAGAUCAAAUGGGAUGGUCAUCCAAUCUGCGUAGACUUACCAUCCAUGAUUGCCCUUGUUUGAUAGUGUCACAUCCUUUUCCGCCUUCUGCUUCGAUUUCCGAGAUGUCCAUCAGGGGAGUUCCGGGACUUGCAAAAAUGAGUAUAGACCAUAGAUGGUUAACUAUCGAAUCUACUGAGUUGAGUGUGCUAGAUGACAGUAUCCUGGCAUUCAGUAACCUUGGGGGCAUAAGAUUGUUUCGAAUAAGAAGCUGUCCAAAUCUGAUCUCUCUUUCAAGUGAAUCUUUCAGCCAGCUCAUCGCUUUAGAAACUUUAUGUAUACACGACUGCCCUAAUCUUACUAUGUCAAACAUUAUGCCAGAGGUUGUCCAGGAAAACAGCACAUCUACAAGCAGCCUUGUCCCCCCAUCUCUCAAAUCUGUCAACAUUAGCACAUGUGGCGUAACUGGGAGGUGGCUAUCUCAACUGCUUUCACAUUCGCAGUCCCUUGAGGAGUUGCUGUUAACUGGCUGUCCGCAGAUAAAGUUUCUAUCAGUCAUUCAACCUAGAGAAACGGAAGGGACCAGCAGUUUGGCUUCAGCAGUGAUGACCUCGGCCCAAGAUGAACAUGAAUUGAAACUGCCAUAUAAUCUCCUAUGUUCUCUCAAGGUGCUAUGGAUUCAGCAAAGCCUGGAUCUGAAGUUCUUUGGGGGUAAUAGACACUCUACAAGAUUCACCUCUCUUACGCAGCUUUUCCUUCAUGGUUGCCCCAAGCUACUCUCAAUUUUGGUGGGUGAAACAAAAGAUGAUGGUACCAUGGAGGUUGGAUUACUCCCACCAUCACUUGAAGACCUUAGUAUCGGUCCUCUCCCAGAAAACUUGCAGUCAUUCACUCCUGAAGGCCUUUUGUACCUCAAAAAGUUACGUCUAUCUUAUGGCCCAUGUUUGAAGUCUGUACAGCUGCAUUCCUGUACGGCCUUAGAGGAGCUGGAUAUCAUGGGGUGUGUCCAGCUGACUGUACUGGAGGGCUUGCAGUUUCUCAGCUCCCUUCGAAGCUUGAAGAUGGAGAUGAAUUCCGAGCUGUCUUGUGCAUGGGAUCUCAAACUGCAGGAACAAGAGCAGGGUGGGAAUCAAAUUCAGCUAUUUCCUCGGUCACUUGAUAAACUUGAGAUCACGGCUGUCACGGACUGGGUCCAAUCCCGUCUUCUGUCCUGCCUUCCUGCCAUGACCAAAUUAGCAGUACAGAGAAGUCCGGAACUGACGUCUCUACAGUUGGCAUGCUGCACGGCACUGAAAGUGUUGGAAAUUGGAGACUGCGACUUGCUUGCGUCGAUCGAGGGCCUCCAGUUCUGUAGAAACCUGACAUCCUUGAAAGUAUUUAACUCCCCCGGCCUAUCUUCCUGUUUUCAACUUUUGUCCGACCAGCAAGGUGUCUGUGAAGUAUGGUCUGGAUUGAAAACUCUUGUGGCUAGUGACGCAUCUAUCCUGUCCAGGCCGUUCUGCAAACAGCUGACUUCCCUAAGACGUCUACAGUUUGGCUCUGCGUAUAGUGCAAGCUUGGUGAACCUAACAGACGAACAAGAGAGAGCAUUACAGCUUCUAACCUCACUCCAAGAACUUCAAUUCCUGAGAUGCCCGAAUCUCUUAUCACUUCCUGCAAGCCUAUAUAGCCUGACCUCCCUCGGAACAUUAUCUAUCGUACAUUGUAGGAGCAUCACAAGGUUGCCAGACAUGGGCUUUGCACCUUCGCUCAGUAACCUUGAGGUAGCCUAUUGCAGUGAGGAGCUAGGUAUGGAGUGCAGAAUUGCAGCAACUGAAAAGCUAAGAGUCACAAUUGAUUAUGUGGAUGUGAAUUAA